rnacentral:lncRNA from 1 species
CUGCACGUGGGUGGAGACCCCAACCAGCCAGGCCGUGGGCCUCGUGGAGUCCCUUCUCAGAUACAGGCCAUGUUCCAGAGAAGGCUUCCUGUGGCACAGUGCCUUGUCCUGGCCUCAGACAUGCAGGGAUUUUGAGAUCAAGUUGCCAUUGCCCAGCCCACCCAGCUCUCCCUGAGGCCCCCCUGGUCUUCACGCUGCCCUUAUUGCUGCCCUUGUGCCGUCCUCACCCUCUCUGUGGAACUGGAUGCCUGGGCUAGUGCCCUUUCUUCCACUUACUGGGUACACCCUGGGCAAACUGCUUCCCUUUUCUACAGUAAGCAGACCUCAUGUGCCCUGUUGCUUGUCCUCAGCACGGAGGGAUGUGGGAGGAGCUCAGCAGCUAUCACAGGUGGCCUAAUGUAGCCAAGUGUCCGUCCUGUCCUGGUGGCACCUGCAGAAAGAACACAACCCAAAGUUUCUAGGAUGGCCUGCCCCCAGGGCCCGGGUUACAAGUUUGUGGGCUCAGUCAGUUUGGGCAGCAUUGAGCAGGGUAUUGAGACAUAGUCCAGGGGUUUUAUGGUUUUGGCUUUUUUCUUUGAAAAUAGCAAAGGAUGUCCUGGGAAGCUGACUAGUACUGGCCCUGCCUUUCCUGGAGCCAGGUAUUUGCCCAGUCUUCUGCAAGAGCAGAGUAGGCACAAGCUGCCCUUCUAGGCCCUUCAGUGUACAUAUGUGUGGCUUACUGUUUCCUGAAAGUUGCUAGUGGGUGGUUGUGACCAUCCUGGAAGCUGGCCCUUGGAGAAUAUACAGCCUGUGACAGUGCAGCCAACUCUCUGGAGUUGGUGGGUCUCUCACUGGGACCUUAGCAAGAUCUUUCCUGUGUUGUGUUUGGCAAGGAUCUGGACCUGCAGCCCACCAUGUCUGAAACAUGGGUCCUUCUGGAGAAGAGAGUAUGACAUCUGUGCCACCCUCUGGAGCACCCACCUGGUUUAUCUGAGGCUAUAGGUGCUCCCCUGUAUGGGGCCCGAAGGCCAGGCUGAUGUCACCAACGGUGAGGAUGCAGCUGUUGUCCUGGAGCCUCUGACUUCCAUCCAAAGGACCCCACGUGCCUUCUGGCCAGCUUCGUGCAGACACACGCUGAGUACAGUGGUCAGCCUGGUGCAAGGCCCCAGAGGAGCAAGUGUGUCCAGGAGGAGACAAGACCAGUGCACAGUGGCGCCUCUUGGCUGAAUGUAUUUAUUCCUGUGACUCAGGCUGCAGUGUUCCUGGCUUGGAAAGAGCCAGGAACUCAGUGAUGAGCUUGCUGCUUCACAUGCUGGGCAUGGGCGGCCUCCAGGCUUGGACUUCCCUUGCAAGAGCAGGGCCUUCUGCCCCUGCCCACCUGGUUGCCAGUGUGGGUGGCUGUGACUAGCCAUGGAUCUUCCCUCUGGGGAUGGCUGUCUCAGCUGCUGGGCUCCAGCUGUCUGCAGGCUUGAUAAAUACCAAAUUGCACGUGUGGGGUUCUUCUUCCCAAGCCCUUGGGCAUGGGGUCUCUGUGCACUUAAGAGCUGGGGACCCACCUGCAUCUCACCCCAUUCCUCCCAGAGCAUGGGUCCCCCUGGGUGGCCGGCCCCUGCCUGCAAAGCCACCUUGUCCAGGAGAUGCUGCUAUGAAUUGCCAGUACUGUGAGGAGGAGGUGAAGGGUAGACCUUGAAAACAGCGCAACGUUAAGAGGAGAAACUGGCACUGCUGUUUGUAAGAGUGCAUUCCUUCCCCUUUCUGUCACUUUAUAGACCAAAAAG